rnacentral:tRNA from 1 species
GGGGAUAUAGCCCAGUUGGUUGAGUGCUUGCCUUGCAUGUGCAAGGCCCUGGGUUCAAUCCCCAGUACCCA